rnacentral:rRNA from 1 species
AGUGAACGCUGGCGGUAGGCCUAACACAUGCAAGUCGAACGGCAGCACAGUAAGAGCUUGCUCUUACGGGUGGCGAGUGGCGGACGGGUGAGGAAUACAUCGGAAUCUACUUUUUCGUGGGGGAUAACGUAGGGAAACUUACGCUAAUACCGCAUACGACCUACGGGUGAAAGCAGGGGAUCUUCGGACCUUGCGCGAUUGAAUGAGCCGAUGUCGGAUUAGCUAGUUGGCGGGGUAAAGGCCCACCAACGCGACGAUCCGUAGCUGGUCUGAGAGGAUGAUCAGCCACACUGGAACUGAGACACGGUCCAGACUCCUACGGGAGGCAGCAGUGGGGAAUAUUGGACAAAGGGCGCAAGCCUGAUCCAGCCAUACCGCGUGGGUGAAGAAGGCCUUCGGGUUGUAAAGCCCUUUUGUUGGGAAAGAAAAGCAGCAGGUUAAUACCCCGCUGUUCUGACGGUACCCAAAGAAUAAGCACCGGCUAACUUCGUG